UACGUAGGGUGCGAGCGUUAAUCGGAAUUACUGGGCGUAAAGCGUGCGCAGGCGGUUCGUUGUGUCGGCGGUGAAAGCCCCGGGCUUAACCUGGGAAUGGCCGUCGAAACUGGCGAACUGGAGUGUGGCAGAGGGGGGUGGAAUUCCGCGUGUAGCAGUGAAAUGCGCAGAUAUCAGGAGGAACACCGGUGGCGAAGGCGGGUCUCUGGGCCGAUACUGACGCUGAGGAGCGAAAGCGUGGGGAGCGAACAGG
rnacentral:rRNA from 1 species